GUUCAGUCACUGAUCAGCAUGCAACACAUUUAUCUUCUUGGUUACAAAAGGCUGAAUGCGGUCCAAGCAGGGGACUAGUUGGGGUUGAGUGCAGGCCGAUGAAGGCUGCAGUUUACUAAAUGCCAGACUGGUGGGAUUGCAAAAGAAGUGGAAUGAUAUAUGCCAGCGUCUUCAUCACAUACAUUCAUUUCAACCAGAUGCUUUGCAAGCCAGGUCACAUAUUUCUAGUUUGGGCAUCUUUCAGAGUACUUCUGCUGGGGGCGAAAGCAGAAACAAAGAUUUAUUGUUGGAUGCAAGACUUACUAAUCAAAGUUCAAUGUCACCAGACUUGCAAAAUACCUGCUGGAUCAAAA
rnacentral:misc_RNA from 1 species